CCUACGGGAGGCAGCAGUGAGGAAUAUUGGUCAAUGGCCGAGAGGCUGAACCAGCCAAGUCGCGUGAGGGAAGAAUGUCCUAUGGAUUGUAAACCUCUUUUGUAAGGGAGCAAAGUCACCCACGUGUGGGUGUUGGAGAGUACCUGAAGAACAAGCAUCGGCUAACUCCGUGCCAGCAGCCGCGGUAAUACGGAGGAUGCAAGCGUUAUCCGGAUUUAUUGGGGUGAAAGGGUGCGUAGGAGGGUGAUCAAGUCAGCGGUAAAAUCGCGGGGCUCAACCUCGCGCCGCCGUUGAAACUGGCGUUCUUGAGUGGGCGAGAAGUAUGCGGAAUGCGUGGUGUAGCGGUGAAAUGCGUAGAUAUCACGAAGAACUCCGAUUGCGAAGGCAGCAUACCGGCGCCCAACUGACGCUGAAGCACGAAAGCGUGGGUAUCGAACAGGAUUAGAUACCCGAGUAGUC
rnacentral:rRNA from 1 species